rnacentral:rRNA from 1 species
AACGAACGCUGGCGGCAUGCCUAACACAUGCAAGUCGAACGAGACCUUCGGGGCUAGUGGCGCACGGGGGCGUAACGCGGGGGAAGCUACCCUUAGGUUCGGGAUAACUCCCCGGGGGGGGUGCGAAGACCGGAGAAUUUCUUCGGCCCAAGAAUUUAUCGCGUUUGGAUGGGCCCGCGUUGGAUUAGCAAGUUGGGGGGGUAAAAGCCUACCAAGGCGACUAGCGGUAGCUGGACGUAGAGGGGGAACAGCCACACUGGGACUGAGACACGGCCCCGACUCGUACGGGAGGCAGCAGGGGGGAAUUUUGGACAAGGGGCGAAAGCCGGAUCCAGCAAUGCCGCGUGUGUGAAGAAGGCCUUCGGGUUGUAAAGCACUUUUGGCCGGAAAGAAAUCCUGGGCCCUAAUACGGUCGGGGGAUGACGGUACCGGAAGAAUAAGCACCGGCUAACUACGUG